rnacentral:rRNA from 1 species
AUUGAACGCUGGCGGCAGGCCUAACACAUGCAAGUCGAGCGGAUGAAGGGAGCUUGCUCCUGGAUUCAGCGGCGGACGGGGGAGUAAUGCCUAGGAAUCUGCCUGGUAGUGGGGGAUAACGUCCGGAAACGGGCGCUAAUACCGCAUACGUGCUGAGGGAGAAAGUGGGGGGGCUUCGGACCUCACGCUAUCAGAUGAGCCUAGGUCGGGUUAGCUAGUUGGUGGGGGAAAGGGCUACCAAGGCGAGGAUCCGUAGCUGGUCGGAGAGGAUGAUCAGCCACACUGGAACGGAGACACCGACAAGGGUACUGAGAGAGGGAGCAGUGUGGAACAGUGGACAGCGGUCGGAAGUAUGAUACAGUGAGGCGGAGUGUGUUGAGGAGGUCCUCGGAGUGGAAAGCCGGCUUAGUUGGGGUGAAGCGCAGUAAGUUAAGACGUUGCUGUUUUGACGGUAAUAAGUGAAUAAGCACCGGCUAACUACGUG